rnacentral:rRNA from 1 species
ACUGAAUAGAUACCCCGGUAGUCCCAGCCGUAAACGAUGCUCGCUAGGUGUCAGGCAUGGCGCGACCGUGUCUGGUGCCGCAGGGAAGCCGUGAAGCGAGCCACCUGGGAAGUACGGCCGCAAGGCUGAAACUUAAAGGAAUUGGCGGGGGAGCACAACAACGGGUGGAGCCUGCGGUUUAAUUGGACUCAACGCCGGACAACUCACCGGGGGCGACAGCAAUAUGUAGGCCAAGCUGAAGACUUUGCCUGAAUCGCUGAGAGGAGGUGCAUGGCCGUCGCCAGUUCGUACUGUGAAGCAUCCUGUUAAGUCAGGCAACGAGCGAGACCCGUGCCCACUGUUACCAGCAUAUUCUCCGGAAUGAUGGGUACUCUGUGGGGACCGCCGAUGUUAAAUCGGAGGAAGGUGCGGGCCACGGUAGGUCAGUAUGCCCCGAAUCUCCCGGGCUACACGCGGGCUACAAUGGAUGGGACAAUGGGUCCCUCCCCUGAAAAGGGCUGGUAAUCUCACAAACCCAUUCGUAGUUCGGAUCGAGGGCU